UACGGGGGGAGCAAGCGUUGUUCGGAUUUACUGGGCGUAAAGGGCGCGUAGGCGGCGCAACAAGUCACUUGUGAAAUCUCCGGGCUUAACUCGGAAAGGUCAAGUGAUACUGUUGUGCUAGAGUGCGGAAGGGGCAACUGGAAUUCUCGGUGUAGCGGUGAAAUGCGUAGAUAUCGAGAGGAACACCUGCGGCGAAGGCGGGUCUCUGGGCAGUAACUGACGCUGAGACGCGAAAGCGUGGGGAGCGAACAGG
rnacentral:rRNA from 1 species